rnacentral:misc_RNA from 1 species
GAUUCAGGAGACUUGUACACGGUCCAGCGCGGAAAACGCUUCUCCAGACUACAACUCGGACGGCCAACGGCACGCCAGAUUUUAAAUUUGAGCUCUUCCCGCUUCACUCGCAGUUACUAGGGGAAUCCUUGUUACUUCCUCUAAAAUGACCAAGAAUAUGCUUAAGUUCAGCGGGUAGUCCCGCCUGAUUUGAGGUCAAGUUUCGAUGAAAGUGCGCGCGUCCAAGAAGGACACGACGGCAAGUUYGAAGCGGGUCCCACGACGCGCAGCCCAACGGCGUAGACAAUUAUCACACCGAAGGCCAACACUGGGGUCUCCACUAAUGCAUUUGAGAGGAGCCGACUUCACCUUGAGAGGCAUUUCCGGCAAGACCUCCACAUCCACGCCCCACUGCCCUCCGAAAAGGGGAUAGAGGUGAGAAGUUCACGACACUCAAACAGGCGUGCCCCUCGGAAUACCAAGGGGCGCAAGGUGCGUUCAAAGAUUCGAUGAUUCACUGAAUUYUGCAAUUCACAUUACUUAUCGCAUUUCGCUGCGUUCUUCAUCGAUGCGAGAGCCAAGAGAUCCGUUGUUGAAAGUUGUAUUAAGUUUGCUUUUUAUCGCAAUAGACAUUYUGAAGACAUGCGUGGUAUGUGUGUAAGAGACGCGGAGCACCGGAGGCUUGAAAAGCCGGCGGCACCCCAC